rnacentral:rRNA from 1 species
UACGGAGGGGGCGAGCGUUGUCCGAAGUUACUGGGCGUAAAGGGCGCGUAGGUGGUUCUGUAUGUCUACCGUGAAAGCGUACGGCUCAACCGUAUUUUGUCGGUGGAAACUGCAGGACUUGAGGCUGGGAGGGGCUGGUGGAAUUCCCUGUGUAGCGGUGAAAUGCGUAGAGAUGGGGGAGAACACUCGUGGCGACGGCGGCCAGCUAGACCAGUUCUGACACUGAGGCGCGACAGCGUGGGGAGCAAACAGG